UACCACAAAAAACUAUAAAUUAUAAUUAUCUUAUAUGGCUGCCAACUACCACAACAACUAAAUUUAUUAUGCCAUAAAGAUACAAUAAUAUAAAUAGAGAGAACUUCAUUUCUAGGGUUUCAAGUCCACCUUCAUUCUAAAGGUUAGGAGGCGCCGCUUCACUCUAGAAUUCUAGAGUCUUCUCUCUAAAUUCUUACCCUAAUUCCAUACCCCGCAUAUCCCAUCCUUCUCCACAUCCAAAUCUGAAAACUAUUCCACAAUACCAUCCACAAACUUCAAUUACAGCUACACAACUACCAAUUUUUUGAUCCAAAUCCCUUCGAAAACUUAGAAAUCUCGCUUAUUCAGUGUGUACAAAUACAGAGCCUAAAACUCACAACAUCUGAAAGUCUCUCGCAAGUGCAGCCACGCCUACCGACACUACAUGCACAAUUGGUGAAGCCAAGAACCAGAAACGCCGAAUCCUUUCAGAUCCGAAGAGUAUGAGCAAAAAGAUUUGAAGACGCUGAUUUAAAAAUUUCAGAGCCCCCAGUUCGAUCUACAGGAAGGAACAAUUACCUAUGGAAUGGCUUUAUAAGAAGGCCAAAGAGUUUAAGCACAAUUUUCAUGUACAAAAAUCCGCCAAAAAAAGAUAAGUAUCUUACCUCCUGUGUACUUAAUUUCUUUGUUGUAUAUUUUUCACUUUAUCUAAGACAUUCCUUACUAAUACUCAAACUUAUGUGAUUUUCUUACAGAAAUGUAAAAAAUAAUGGAGAGCAAAAAACAGAAACGUGAAGAUCUACUGAAGUUUAUUAUGCAGAUAAAAACUUCACUGUCUACUCAAGAUCUACAGCAAAAAUGAAGAACCAAUAUCAAGAUAAGAACUCAUUUUCAUACAUUAUUCACAAAGAUAGAAAUAUAAUAAAUACCAGUAGAAUUUUCUGCAUUUGAUCUGACGCCAGUAAUCUUCAACGAUUUUGUUAGCUUUCUCAUUUAGAAUCACCUGUAAAAUAUGUGAAAAAAUUAGUAAAAAUUUAUAAAAAAAAUUCCUCAAUAAAAAAACUCGUAUAAAAAAAAGGUGAAGAAUAAUAUAAUCACUUUCACAACAAAAAUGGUUAAAAGUAAAGAAACUUCAACUUUACUGUUCUUGAGUAAUAUAAGCUUCUGAGAUUUGCUAAUAUGAGCACUGUAAGUGAAUCUGCAGAUGAGAAAAAAUGAGCCUUUAUUACAAAACUUAUUUAUAUAAAAGUUAAUUAGCUAAUAUCCAGUGGUUAUUAACCUGCAAGUAUUCAAAUGUCAAGACAGUACAGAUAAUACCUCCUCACAGUUCCUAGGAAAUAACAACACAUGCUAACUUUUUUCCUAAGCGAGGCGCAUGGAGUGUGGGCUUAAUUAAUAAAAUAUUAUUAAUUAAGUGUGAGGCAAAUUAGUGUGGUGUGCAGGAGGUAUACAGCUGUAUAUCAUUUAUUCUAAAAUAUUAGGAUAUUCCACUAUUCUAAUAAAAUAUUAUUAAUUAAGAGUGAGGCAAAUUAGUGUGGUGUGCAGGAGGUAUACAGCUCAUUUAUUCUAAAAUAUUAGGAUAUUCUAGUACUAUAUGAACUAAUCUAUUAAAUAUUAAUUUAUAUACAAAUUAGUGAAUUACCCAUUAUCUAAAUUCUAGAAGUCAGUUCGUCACUUACCUUAGGUAAAUAUAUUAGAAUUUUUUAGGCUUUACUGCGCCUCGCCUACGAAAAGCCCGCGCCUGCGCUUAAAGCCCUGCGCCUAGGCUCCGAGGCAUGUUUGCGCCUCAUGCGCCUCGGGCUUUUUAAAACCCAGAUCAGACUUAUACUCACAUAUAUAUACAUAAUAGAAUUUUAUAAAUUUUAAUAUUAUAUUCAUAAAACUAAAUUUAUAUAUCUUAUGUGACAUUUUGGGAAUUUUGGGUUCCUUUUUAUAUUUUUCAAUAUUGAGUUCAUUGAAUUCUCACUUUCAUAAUACAGAAAUUUUAACUUUAUGUAAAGUUUCAUUAGUAUUGAGUUCAUUGAAUCCUCACUUUCAUAUUUCUCAAUUUUGAGUUCAUUAGUAUCUUAAACCAUAGAUAUCUUUAAAUUUAUGAAAAGUUUACUGUGUUGAAAGUACAGCCCAUAUACUUAUGAUCUACCCAUAAAUAUCUCUAUCUCCUAUUUUACUGAUUUAUAUGCUUAAAAAUACAGGUCAUAUACUGAUGUUGUGGCUCCAAGAUCAAAACACCAUACAAAAUCCUUAUGAAAUAUUGUGGCUACUAUGCAUAAGGAAUGCACUGAUUUGCACUGAUUCAGGUAAAGGACAACACUGUACUGCAUAUUUUAUUGGUAAGCAGGGAAGUAUUUUCAUAGACAUACGAAAAAAGUUUUUUUUUUUAAAUGAAGGGAAGUAUUUGCAGGGAAGUAUUGGUAAGCAUAUUAGUAUUUAUUGGUAAGCAGGUGGGUAUUUGCAUAAAAAUGAACAGGCAUAUAUCUUACAUAAUUUUUUUUAAUAUAAUACUAUUUUGUAAUAAAUUAACAAAAUUACACACACACUACAAAAACAUGUUCAUCAUGCACAACACAUUCAAAUAUAACAGUUUGGACAAUAUUUUUAUAAAUGAACAUGCAUAUAUCUUUCAUAGUUUUUUUUAAUAUAAUACUAUUUUGUAAUAAAUUA